UGGUAGGAUAGUUUAAUUAAAAUAUUUAUUUUACACGUAAGGGAUGGUCUUUAAGGCCUGCUGCCAU
rnacentral:tRNA from 1 species